rnacentral:rRNA from 1 species
UACAGAGGUCUCAAGCGUUGUUCGGAUUCAUUGGGCGUAAAGGGUGCGUAGGCGGCGCGGUAAGUCGGGUGUGAAAUCUCGGGGCUUAACUCCGAAACUGCAUUCGAUACUGCCGUGCUUGAGGACUGGAGAGGAGGCUGGAAUUUACGGUGUAGCGGUGAAAUGCGCAGAUAUCGGGAGGAACACCAAUGGCGAAGGCAGCUCGCUGGGACGGUACUGACGCUGAGGCGCGAAAGCGUGGGGAGCAAACAGG